GGCCGCCAGAGGUGCCGGUGCCGGGCGGGGAGCGCGGGCAGCAGCAGGCAGGGCACAAGGCAAGGCACAAGGCAGGGCACAGGGCAGGGGCUGGGCGGGCAGCAGCAGCCAGGGCGCAGGGCACGGCGCUAGACAGGGGCUGGGCACGGCGCAGGGCACGGCGCUGGGCAGGGGCUGCCGGCGCCGCCCGGCCCGCCCUGCCGCUUCUGCCACAGCCCCGCCGAGUUUGGGGGCGCCUCUUCCCCCCGCUUAAACGACCUGUGCGCCAUCUCCGCCUGGACUCUUCCGAAGGAGUCGCGCCCUUGCUGCUUUACAAAGCCUUCCUCCCGCCAAGCGACUGCUGCCCUCAUGCUCCACGGCUGUUCUGCAGUCCCCCGGUAGCUCCACACCCUUCACACCUUUCAGCUUUGCUGGCCAAACUUUCACUCAGAGGUCAAGUGGAGUCAAGAAGAAGUCUAAAGAAGUUUUGCCUGGGAUUUAAGGAGAAGGCUCCAUAGCAGUAAAGUAAGUUCAAGGUAAUAACAAGAUCAGUUUAGGAAUUAAUUUUUAACAAGUGUUUAAAAUACAAUGAGAGUGGUGAUAGAUGUGUCUGAAAGUAUGACACUGAGAGCAUGAAGAAAGGUAUUUUUCAAAUCUUCAUUUAAACAUGUUUAUAAAAUGAACUGUGAAACCUCUAUUGUGAGUUAUGAAACACCAUUGUGUUUCAUAUACAUGUACAUGGCCAAAUGCCAUUAAGUUCCACUGGAAACUGUAGUAGCUCAUUCUGUGCCUGCACAUAUGCCAGUUUGUCUGGAAGUACAUGGUCACGCUGCAGACUCUCUGCAGGAUGACUGCUUUUGUCUCAUUUAAGUUAGCAAAGUUAAGAACCUGGUAGUGGUGGAGAUUCCUGAUUGGUGUAAAAACAUAGUAAAUAUUGAGAGUUGUUUUAACAGCUUUUUUUUUUUUUGUCAUACUGCUUUAUAAAACAGAUAUAAUUUUGAAGAAAAAAAUCUAAAUCCUGAGUUUUUAGACUGUCACAAGAAAUUUAAGGAAAUGUGGGCUGAAUUUAAGGAAUUGUAUUCUGACAAGGAUAUAAAUCAAGUGUCAUAAUCUGGU
rnacentral:lncRNA from 14 species